UACGGAGGGGGCUAGCGUUGUUCGGAAUUACUGGGCGUAAAGCGCACGUAGGCGGCUUUGCAAGUCAGAGGUGAAAGCCCAGGGCUUAACCCUGGAAUUGCCUUUAAGACUGCAUCGCUAGAAUCGUGGAGAGGUGAGUGGAAUUCCGAGUGUAGAGGUGAAAUUCGUAGAUAUUCGGAAGAACACCAGUGGCGAAGGCGACUCACUGGACACGUAUUGACGCUGAGGUGCGAAAGCGUGGGGAGCAACAGGG
rnacentral:rRNA from 1 species